AUUGAACGCUGGCGGCAGGCCUAACACAUGCAAGUCGAACGAGUGGCGGACGGGUGAGUAAUGUCUGGGAAACUGCCUGAUGGAGGGGGAUAACUACUGGAAACGGUAGCUAAUACCGCAUACCCUCGGAUGUGCCCAGAUGGGAUUGGCUUGUUGGUGGGGUAAGGGCUCACCUAGGCGCCGAUCCCUAGCUGGUCUGAGAGGAUGACCAGCCACACUGGAACUGAGACACGGUCCAGACUCCUACGGGAGGCAGCAGUGGGGAAUAUUGCACAAUGGGCGCAAGCCUGAUGCAGCCAUGCCGCGUGUAUGAAGAAGGCCUUCGGGUUGUAAAGUACUUUCAGCGAGGAGGCGUUACUCGCAGAAGAAGCACCGGCUAACUCCGUGCCAGCAGCCGCGGUAAUUC
rnacentral:rRNA from 1 species